rnacentral:rRNA from 1 species
UACGAAGGGGGCUAGCGUUGUUCGGAAUUACUGGGCGUAAAGCGCACGUAGGCGGAUACUUAAGUCAGGGGUGAAAUCCCGGGGCUCAACCUCGGAACUGCCUUUGAUACUGGGUAUCUCGAGUCCGGAAGAGGUGAGUGGAAUUCCGAGUGUAGAGGUGAAAUUCGUAGAUAUUCGGAGGAACACCAGUGGCGAAGGCGGCUCACUGGUCCGGUACUGACGUUGAGGUGCGAAAGCGUGGGGAGCAAACAGG